GGAUAAUAGACAAGCGGUCUGCCUAUGAUGUAGGCUGUAACUCCUAGUAUGAGUAUGGUGUGAUAGCUAGUUUACUAUUGUGACUUGCCACUGCAAUUAACACCAACUUUAAUUCACUUGACCGAUUUGUUGUUGUUUUUUCAAUUUCUUGUGUGUGUGUUUCAGUGCCACUUCUUGUGCACUGAAAAUUGCAAAAACGCCUGACAUUUCUUAGCGAUUAG